AAGGCGUAGUCGAUGGGAAACAGGUUAAUAUUCCUGUACUUGGUGUUACUGCGAAGGGGGGACGGAGAAGGCUAUGUUGGCCGGGCGACGGUUGUCCCGGUUUAAGCGUGUAGGCUGGUUUUCCAGGCAAAUCCGGAAAAUCAAGGCUGAGGCGUGAUGACGAGGCACUACGGUGCUGAAGCAACAAAUGCCCUGCUUCCAGGAAAAGCCUCUAAGCAUCAGGUAACAUCAAAUCGUACCCCAAACCGACACAGGUGGUCAGGUAGAGAAUACCAAGGCGCUUGAGAGAACUCGGGUGAAGGAACUAGGCAAAAUGGUGCCGUAACUUCGGGAGAAGGCACGCUGAUAUGUAGGUGAAGCGACUUGCUCGUGGAGCUGAAAUCAGUCGAAGAUACCAGCUGGCUGCAACUGUUUAUUAAAAACACAGCACUGUGCAAACACGAAAGUGGACGUAUACGGUGUGACGCCUCCCCGGUGCCGGGAGGUUAAUUGAUGGGGUUAGCCGCAAGGCGAAGCUCUUGAUCGAAGCCCCGGUAAACGGCGGCCGUAACAAUAGCGGUCCUAAGGUAGCGAAAUUCCUUGUCGGGUAAGUUCCGACCUGCACGAAUGGCGUAAUGAUGGCCAGGCUGUCUCCACCCGAGACUCAGUGAAAUUGAACUCGCUGUGAAGAUGCAGUGUACCCGCGGCAAGACGGAAAGACCCCGUGAACCUUUACUAUAGCUUGACACUGAACAUUGAGCCUUGAUGUGUAGGAUAGGUGGGAGGCUUUGAAGUGUGGACGCCAGUCUGCAUGGAGCCGACCUUGAAAUACCACCCUUUAAUGUUUGAUGUUCUAACGUUGACCCGUAAUCCGGGUUGCGGACAGUGUCUGGUGGGUAGUUUGACUGGGGCGGUCUCCUCCUAAAGAGUAACGGAGGAGCACGAAGGUUGGCUAAUCCUGGUCGGACAUCAGGAGGUUAGUGCAAUGGCAUAAGCCAGCUUGACUGCGAGCGUGACGGCGCGAGCAGGUGCGAAAGCAGGUCAUAGUGAUCCGGUGGUUCUGAAUGGAAGGGCCAUCGCUCAACGGAUAAAAGGUACUCCGGGGAUAACAGGCUGAUACCGCCCAAGAGUUCAUAUCGACGGCGGUGUUUGGCACCUCGAUGUCGGCUCAUCACAUCCUGGGGCUGAAGUAGGUCCCAAGGGUAUGGCUGUUCGCCAUUUAAAGUGGUACGCGAGCUGGGUUUAGAACGUCGUGAGACAGUUCGGUCCCUAUCUGCCGUGGGCGCUGGAGAACUGAGGGGGGCUGCUCCUAGUACGAGAGGACCGGAGUGGACGCAUCACUGGUGUUCGGGUUGUCAUGCCAAUGGCACUGCCCGGUAGCUAAAUGCGGAAGAGAUAAGUGCUGAAAGCAUCUAAGCACGAAACUUGCCCCGAGAUGAGUUCUCCCUGACUCCUUGAGAGUCCUGAAGGAACGUUGAAGACGACGACGUUGAUAGGCCGGGUGUGUAAGCGCAGCGAUGCGUUGAGCUAACCGGUACUAAUGAACCGUGAGGCUUAACCUU
rnacentral:rRNA from 1 species